rnacentral:lncRNA from 1 species
GGUUUACAUAAUUAGAUAAUCUUAAAUUGGAAUGGUCUUCUAAGUUUUAUUAAUAUUUUCUCCAGAUUAUAAGGUCACAGGAAAGGACGAGGAGACUUUUGUCACGAAAAUUGUAUGACUGAUACAAUUUGGAAUUUAUAACAUUAAGCACAUUGCAGAGCUAUUGAAAUAUCUAUUAUGUCUAUUUAAAGAAGUGUUAUUUAUAUAGGCAGAUGCUUUUAAGGGCAUACGAUACAGUUACCGGGUAUGUAAUGACGUUGCCAACAUAAAUUUUUAUUUUCACGACUUCAAACUUUGACUUAUCGGGAAAAGAUUCAGUUUUUUGACUAAUUUUUAUCAUUCAAGCUUAUUUAACUUGAAAACGAAUUCAUGGACCCCUCUUUUUCAAAAUGCCAUAUGGUUUGAUUACGUGAGAAGAUUAUGUGUGCCAAUUUUCAUGAGAACGUAAAUAGUGCAAUUUUUUAAAAUUUGAUACAUAUACAGCAAAAAAAGAUGUGUUUUUCUACAUUCAUGAACAUUUGAUAAAUAUGAGUUAUUUCUGAAUGAACAAAUGUAUAAAUUUUUAGGAUACUUAUAAAAUACAGAAAUUACAAAUUAUUUAACAAACAAGAGGCUGUCACAACGACAGCAAACCUGAUUUAUUAACAUUUAUUUGUGUCCUGGCAAUAUCACAAGAACCAUUACUGAUGAAUGGUGAAAGUGAAAAUCGUCAAUAUCAAAUUUGACCUCCAUUUUGUCAUCAGUAUUAACAUAUUAAAAUUUGAAAAGCUUAGAUUGAAUGGUUCAAGAGUAAAUGCAACAACGUGAAUGGAAACGCCAUUUUACAAUCUUUCAAGAACCAUAACUCCUGAACGGUAAAAGUCAAAAUCGUCAUUAUUGAACUUGACCUCUAUUUUGUC